CCUACGGGAGGCAGCAGUGGGGAAUUUUGGGCAAUGGGCGCAAGCCUGAUCCAGCAAUGCCGCGUGCAGGAAGAAGGCCUUCGGGUUGUAAACUGCUUUUGUCAGGGAAGAAAUCUUCUGGGCUAAUACCCCGGGAGGAUGACGGUACCUGAAGAAUAAGCACCGGCUAACUACGUGCCAGCAGCCGCGGUAAU
rnacentral:rRNA from 1 species